CUCAUUGCAAACUGCGCUCCCCAGACGUCUUGGAAAAAAGUUGAGAGUCCGGCCUCAAGUUGCUGUUUUGCUCCUGGACAAAACUGAAGGAAGGUAAGGACAUCGCAAAUAACUACAAUUCACUCUUUCUGACAUCCUUUUUGUGUGUGCGCAGGUGAAACGGCAUCUUGACUUCAUCCAGAGGUGACUGAGGAAUAAGACGACAGCGAAUGAGGCAGUCUGCUGGGUUUGAGCAUGCAGCAAAACAAGAUGGCUGACGUGACCAUUUUUUAACACAUUUUCUCUUUUGCAGAUUCAGUUGAAAAGGUACAUUUCACAUCCUGUAAUGUCUUUCUGCUCAUGUCCACUAGGCGGCGCCAAAGCGGCUGUUGGCUCCAGAAAAUCUGAAUCUGCAUCCCCUCCAGGAAGACGGUGGACGGGCUCAAGUACCGUUGAUCUUUUUCGCCAGUAAUGCUUCUGUCGGAAAAGACUGUUUGUU